rnacentral:rRNA from 1 species
AACUUAAGGAAUACUGCCAGUGACAAACUGGAGGAAGGCGGGACGACGUCAAGUCAUCAUGGCCCUUACGACCAGGGCUACACACGUGCUACAAUGGUCGGUACAAAGGGUUGCUACCUAGCGAUAGGAUGCUAAUCUCAAAAAGCCGAUCGUAGUCCGGAUUGGAGUCUGCAACUCGACUCCAUGAAGUCGGAAUCGCUAGUAAUCGCGGAUCAGAAUGCCGCGGUGAAUACGUUCCCGGGCCUUGUACACACCGCCCGUCACACCAUGGGAGUUUGUUGCACCAGAAGUAGGUAGUCUAACCGUAAGGAGGACGCUUACCAUGGUGUGGCCGAUGACUGGGU